UACGAAGGGGGCUAGCGUUGUUCGGAAUUACUGGGCGUAAAGCGCGUGUAGGUGGUUGUCCAAGUUGGAUGUGAAAGCCUUGAGCUCAACUCAAGAAAUGCAUUCAGGACUGGGCGGCUAGAGGACCGGAGAGGAUAGUGGAAUUCCCAGUGUAGUGGUGAAAUACGUAGAGAUUGGGAAGAACACCAGUGGCGAAGGCGGCUAUCUGGACGGUUUCUGACACUAAGACUCGAAAGCGUGGGGAGCAAACAGG
rnacentral:rRNA from 1 species